CGGUGACGGAGGGCUUGCCCUUCUGAUCAGUGGCGAACGGGUGAGUAACACGUGAGUAACCUGCCCUUCACUCUGGGAUAACGCUGGGAAACCGGUGCUAAUACUGGAUAUGACCUACUCGGGCAUCCGAUGUGGGUGGAAAGAUUUAUUGGUGGAGGAUGGACUCGCGGCCUAUCAGCUUGUUGGUGAGGUAAUGGCUCACCAAGGCGACGACGGGUAGCCGGCCUGAGAGGGCGAUCGGCCACACUGGGACUGAGACACGGCCCAGACUCCUACGGGAGGCAGCAGUGGGGAAUAUUGCACAAUGGGCGAAAGCCUGAUGCAGCGACGUCGCGUGAGGGAUGAAGGCCUUCGGGUUGUAAACCUCUUUCAGCAGGGAAGAAGCAGCUGGGUUUUCUCGGGUGUGACGGUACCUGCAGAAGAAGCACCGGCUAACUACGUGCCAGCAGCCGCGGUAAUACGUAGGGUGCAAGCGUUGUCCGGAAUUAUUGGGCGUAAAGAGCUUGUAGGCGGUUUGUCGCGUCUGCUGUGAAAUUUCGGGGCUCAACCCCGAACUUGCAGUGGGUACGGGCAGACUAGAGUGUGGUAGGGGAGACUGGAAUUCCUGGUGUAGCGGUGAAAUGCGCAGAUAUCAGGAGGAACACCGAUGGCGAAGGCAGGUCUCUGGGCCACUACUGACGCUGAGAAGCGAAAGCAUGGGGAGCG
rnacentral:rRNA from 1 species